GUAUUAACUAUUUACAAUUAUAAUUAUAAUAGUGCUGCCGGUUUAAGAAUUAUUUAUUCAAAAACUCGCGAGAUGGCUGUAUGUUUAGAUUCCUUCCCUUCUCUUGAAUAAAAAAAGUUACGUUGUAGUCUUUGACGUGGAUCAACAUGGACGCGUCUCGUGAGUUAGGGUAGCGAGGGGUUAAAACGGGUUACGCAUAACAAAAAACAUUGUAAUAGUUAUUUAUAAAUAUUUUCAACUCUGGUUAUAGAAUGAUGUUUAAUGCUGUUAACAUAAUAUUGUGCCAUGUUGAUAUAGUUAAAUAUGCGCAUUUAGGGAUGAAAAUAUGUACAAUAUUUUAUUAACAACUCUUUACAUAAAAAAUUACCAUAUUAUUACAUAGUGCUAGGUUUAGCUUUUAAAUGUAUGGACUUCUUAAAGAAAUUAUUUGUUGAAGUUGCAAUAUAUUAAUAGUAAAAAAUACGUCAAAAGUGGAUGGAUGGAUGUCAAUAGAAACUCAACCACUAAUCGGACUCACAGAGCAGGAUCCAUCCGUUUCCAUAACAGUCCGGUCUACGUAACCGGAACGGACCCGGAUUUUUUCCGGCCAAGGACUGUCAACUCGACAAAAUUCUGCCGCUACAACGCAAGCAGAGGAUCCAUGGUCACAGCAUAUGGUCGUACGCCAAAUUUUAUUAUGCACGAGAACAAAUGAUUUUGGACGAAAAUGAAUUAUAAACUGUAUUCUAUUUCUUUUUUUAGAUUUUGUUUACAAUUUGUUCAAAUUCUUCAAUAAAAUUUAAAUACUAUUAACAUUGUAAA